UCCAUCAGUUAGCGUAGAAGGGCUGUGCUUGCAGCGGACUGGGCCGAAGCACAAAUUGACUGCGUUCGUGUGUGGUUGUCGGUGCGGCACUCAUCCCGCUCUCAUCAUCGCUUGAACGCACUGUGGCUGCCACUGCUGCUUGGCGCCUCUCUCACCCUCAUUAGACCUCUGUUUUCUCUCUCCUUCCGUUUUUUUUUAUGUUUUGCUUUGCUGGCCGUUCGAUCGCUGCCUCAUAGACGCGCACACUGGGAGGCAUAUUUUCUCUUAUCCAGUGUGUAUGAGUGUGAGUCCGCUUCUGGCUACCCCUGCCCCCUUCUCUGUCAUGAACCGCGACUCCCGUCGUCAUGAAGUUCACACAUCGAGAGAUCGAGGAUGACCGCAGGAAACCUGUCGGCUCCCUUUUCAUGCACCUCAUAGACAGAGACUCGAUGCCGUCGCGCAGUCAUCGCAACGCGGCUGCGCAGAAGAUGAAUACGCAUAGCCUGCCCAACACGGAGCUGUCUCUCUACGCACAGGAUGCGCCGCAAAUCUCGUCAACACCAGUGCGGGGCCGGCGCCACUUUCCCAAGCAAGACCGCCACGUCGACUGCAAUAAGGCGGAGGAAGUCCGCCCCUGGAGGGGCGUGCGACGGGGCGCCACUGCUAACGGCAGCAUCGACCACAUCGGCGGCGACAUGACCCCACGAGCCUCGACGGAGGUAUCGAUGCCGCGGCAGCGGCGCUACGUGCCUCCGCCAGCUCGAAGCUCUACUCACCGCCCCUUCUGGUUAGGCGAUGACGAGAUCGUUGCCAGCGCCCGCUGCCGCCGCGGCGCUGGGAGUGCAGCGCGCUCGGUUUCCGUAGGCAGCCAAUCGUUUUCGCGCAACAGCAGCACCGCCGACCAUUUGACUGUCGGAUCGUUGGUACCCUUACCAGAGAAACCGGUCGAGAAGCCCGUGCCGCCACCGCUUCCGAUUAAACCCCGCCGAAAGGGGGUUCGCAUGUUUCCGGGGCUGCGUUCCCGCAGCGCUGACAAUGCGCGCCGAGGUAUCCGGAUGGUGCAGCCACAACCGCACUGGCGCUCUGCCGCAGACCGGCAAUGGGACUUUCUGGAACUUGGCGUUGGCCGCCGCGAGACACCAGCGCCGCUGUACCGGAAUGAAAGUCACAUCGACGUCGGCGGUCCGAUUAUUGUCCGGGAGGGGCCGUCGACGCCGAUACAGCGGUGGCGUGGUGGUCGACGCUACGGCGGCACCCCCGUCCGCCGUACGUUUGACAUUAUCACAGGUCGGCCGCUGGUGUACUGAAAAUGCAAGGAAAGGCGGGCAAGGCGGUGCUUUCCAUAUCGCCCCCUCCCCUCCUACUUGUGGGCCAUGACCGUUGGUGACAGAAUUGAGCGGCUCACUGCCUCCUUCUUCUACUCACUUUACCUGCACCGCUCCACCGCCAUGAAGGCGAAUGCGUCCGCGCGCGUCAGCGCCAUAGAGUCGAUGCAAACUCCUCUGUGCAUCAUACCCUCUGUGUUUUUAUCUCUCUCUUACCUCUUUUUUCUCGGUUGCAUGCCGCGUCUUGUGUUCUUCCUUUGCGGGCAUCCGUUGUGUGGUGCUGCUCAUGUUUCCAUGCGCGUGGCCGCCCGUUUUCGCGUAUUGGAGUCGCGCUGCUGCACAACUCCAAGGAGCCGAGGGAUGAUGCGUCUUUUGUUGCCUUGGUUGUUUGUUUGCGUGCGAAGGGCGCCUUGCGCAUCUCAGGAAACGCGCGGCUUACUUGGCACUGCCGCGUCUGUGCACCUCUUGUGCGCGGCCUCUUGCUGGCCUCGGAAGCGAUUUGUUCUUUGCUCGGCCUCGUGACUGGUAAGCCAUACACAUCGUGUCU
rnacentral:misc_RNA from 1 species